UUUAGACGACAGGCAAAAAGACCGCAUUCCGAUCGGAUCCGGAUUCGAUCCAAAAAGACCGCAUUCCGGUCUUUCGUAAAACGCUCGUUUAGACGACGCAGCGCACUCCGUCGAAAUUGCGUCGAAAUCGGCGAGCUUUUCGCUCUCCAAACCGAAUUGCUUGUGGAGGUAUCAAAAUAACGGUUUGGUACUUGCUACGCGCAAAUUCCAUGAAUUCUUGACAAUAAUCCUGGCGACACUGCGUCCACCCUACCAUCACCAUGUCUGCGUGGUUUUCAAAGGUAAAUCAAGUAAUGCAUUUGAUGAAUAUGAAAUAAAGAGGGAAGAAGAGAAGAAAACAUUCCCUCAAGACCUUUCAAGGCUUCGGAUACAAAUCUAUUGAAGGGUCAUUUUUUCCUGUGGAAUCGUUGUAAAUUGUUUGUGGUUGGGAGCCAUUGAUGAUCUGUUGAGGAGGUGUCAGAUACGGAAUAAGAAAACUGGACCCAUUUAAAUCAGUAAGAUGGAUGUUUCAUAUUCAUGCCAGCGGUUAACGGAUACGUUCUUCUGAGACUCAUGCUGGAGCAAAUGCAGAGACGUCGUAAACGCCGUAAUCACCUGCGUCAUACUCAGCAAAGACAUCUCUCUUCCAGAAUGUCUCAAUUGUACAUGAUAAAUGAAAUGCAGACAGCAGUGGCAUUCUUAGGACAUCUGAACCUGCAGCUCUGCAUAUCAGUAGCAACUGUUGAAAGGUUUGUAUUAAGGGUCAUACUCAUAGGCCUGUCUAGCUAGGUAAGCCGAAUGAGAUGAGCGACUGCGAUUGACUUUCACUCGUAGAUAAGAUUGCCGACUCAUAAUUUUGCGAUGACCAGGUCUCUCAGCACUAACAUGCUCUUUGGGCCAAAAAGAGCCUAAAGAAUUGGCUUUGGGAUAUUUGACCCCUCUGAAGCGAUUUUGCAGAAAUCCAAAGAAACAUUGAAAACUUGCUUUACCGGUAUAACUAAAUGUACCGAUAUUAGGCUGAAAAGCAAAAAGGUUUGCCCAAACAAAGUAGGUGUCUGUGCAAUGGAAAGGUCUGAUACCCCCUCUGGAAAUUGGAGGCUGGGAAUUAAUAAAAACGGUACAAUGUGUUCCUACUUCCAA